AUACGUAGGUGACAAGCGUUAUCCGGAUUUACUGGGCGUAAAGGGCGUGUAGGCGGUCUUGCAAGUCAGAAGUGAAAUUCCUGAGCUCAACUCGGGCGCUGCUUCUGAAACUGCAGGACUUGAGUGCUGGAGGGGAUAGCGGAAUUCCUAGUGGAGCGGUAAAAUGCGCAGAUAUUAGGAAGAACACCGGUGGCGAAGGCGGCUAUCUGGACAGUAACUGACGCUGAGGCGCGAAAGCGUGGGGAGCAAACAGGAUUAGAUACCCUGGUAGUCCACGCUGUAAACGAUGAUUACUGGGUGUAGGGGGUAUCGACUCCCUCUGUGCCGCAGUUAACGCAUUAAGUAUUCCACCUGGGGAGUACGAUCGCAAGAUUGAAACUCAAAUGAAUUGACGGGA
rnacentral:rRNA from 1 species